AAUCUUCUGUAUCCGCACUGAGAAUUUGUCACACACCAGACCGCAAGGGCUGAUGAGACUUCCAAGAUAAGUGAAGCA
rnacentral:pre_miRNA from 1 species